UGGGGAAUAUUGCGCAAUGGGCGAAAGCCUGACGCAGCGAUGCCGCGUGGAGGAUGAAGGUCUUUGGAUUGUAAACUUCUGUUAAACGGGAAGAAAGAGCCUGUGUGAAUAGCACGGGAAGAUGACGGUACCGUUAGAGAAAGCCCCGGCUAACUUCGUGCCAGCAGCCGCGGUAAUACGAAGGGGGCGAGCGUUAUUCGGAAUUACUGGGCGUAAAGAGCGUGUAGGUGGUGCUUUAAGUCAAGUGUGAAAGACCAUGGCCUAACCAUGGGGGUGCAUUUGAGACUGAGGCGCUAGAGGACGGAAGAGAGAUGUGGAAUUCUCGGAGUAGCGGUUAAAUGCGUGGAUCUCGAGAGGAACACCGAUGGCGAAGGCAGCAUCUUGGGCCGUAACUGACACU
rnacentral:rRNA from 1 species